GAGUUUGAUCAUGGCUCAGGAUGAACGCUGGCGGCGUGCUUAACACAUGCAAGUCGAACGAACCUUCGGGUUAGCGGCGGACGGGUGAGUAACGCGUGAGAAUCUGCCCUCAGGAGGGGGAUAACGGCUGGAAACGGCCGCUAAUACCCCAUAUGCCGCGAGGUGAAAUGAAUUUCGCCUGAGGAUGAGCUCGCGUCUGAUUAGCUAGUUGGUGUAGGUAAUGGCUCACCAAGGCAUCGAUCAGUAGCUGGUCUGAGAGGAUGAUCAGCCACACUGGGACUGAGACACGGCCCAGACUCCUACGGGAGGCAGCAGUGGGGAAUUUUCCGCAAUGGGCGUAAGCCUGACGGAGCAACGCCGCGUGAGGGAUGAAGGCCUCUGGGCUGUAAACCUCUUUUAUCAAGGAAGAAGAUCUGACGGUACUUGAUGAAUAAGCCACGGCUAAUUCCGUGCCAGCAGCCGCGGUAAUACGGGAGUGGCAAGCGUUAUCCGGAAUUAUUGGGCGUAAAGCGUCCGCAGGCGGCCCUUCAAGUCUGCUGUUAAAAAGUGGAGCUUAACUCCAUCAUGGCAGUGGAAACUGAGGGGCUUGAGUGUGGUAGGGGCAGAGGGAAUUCCCGGUGUAGCGGUGAAAUGCGUAGAUAUCGGGAAGAACACCAGUGGCGAAGGCGCUCUGCUGGGCCAUCACUGACGCUCAUGGACGAAAGCCAGGGGAGCGAAAGGGAUUAGAUACCCCUGUAGUCCUGGCCGUAAACGAUGAACACUAGGUGUCGGGGGAAUCGACCCCCUCGGUGUCGUAGCCAACGCGUUAAGUGUUCCGCCUGGGGAGUACGCACGCAAGUGUGAAACUCAAAGGAAUUGACGGGGGCCCGCACAAGCGGUGGAGUAUGUGGUUUAAUUCGAUGCAACGCGAAGAACCUUACCAGGGUUUGACAUCCUGCGAAUCUCUUGGAAACGAGAGAGUGCCUUCGGGAGCGCAGUGACAGGUGGUGCAUGGCUGUCGUCAGCUCGUGUCGUGAGAUGUUGGGUUAAGUCCCGCAACGAGCGCAACCCACGUCUUUAGUUGCCAGCAUUUAGUUGGGCACUCUAGAGAGACCGCCGGUGAUAAACCGGAGGAAGGUGUGGAUGACGUCAAGUCAUCAUGCCCCUUACAUCCUGGGCUACACACGUACUACAAUGCUACGGACAAAGGGCAGCAAGUUCGCGAGGACAAGCAAAUCCCAUAAACCGUGGCUCAGUUCAGAUCGUAGGCUGCAACUCGCCUACGUGAAGGAGGAAUCGCUAGUAAUCGCAGGUCAGCAUACUGCGGUGAAUACGUUCCCGGGCCUUGUACACACCGCCCGUCACACCAUGGAAGUUGGCCACGCCCGAAGCCGUUACUCCAACCCUUGUGGAGGAGGACGUCGAAGGUGGGGCUGAUGACUGGGGUGAAGUCGUAACAAGGUAACC
rnacentral:rRNA from 1 species